GUUGUGAUAUUUUUUUUGUUUCAGUCAAACGGAUCCGCCCAUAAAUGUAUAGUCAUUGUUAGCUGCGUAUCGCUGCAGACGUGUGUAACGUGUGUAAGGCUACUCAUCAGAGACCAGUGUGUGUUCUUUAUUUUAAUGAAAAAGCAUAAUGCCAUACUAACAGAAAACAUGACAUUUUAAAGGAAAUAAUUUCAACAAGAAGUGAUAAAUAAUAUAAAAUAUCUGAAAUAAUAUUGACCGAAUCCUCUUGUCCAGGUCUCUCUCAGGGAGAAAUCUCCAACUCUGGUCCCCCACCAGCAGCAGAGGGAACUGUGGAGUCAGCUUUACCCCCAUGGAGGAGCUACCCUCACCAUCAACACUUUGGCCAGCACUAACAGUGCCACCCCAAUCCAUCACCUCCUGUGCUGCACCAUCUCACUCCAUCCACUCUGGCUCUACACCCCAACCCAUCACAUCUGGCUGGACACCACAGGGCUCCCAAGUCAAUCUGCUCCAACAAAUCCUGGACAUACAGGAUUUGUGCCUCAGCCACCCUUCCUCUGGGAACACCAUCAGCCUCCAUGUCCAGUCCCUUCACAUUAAUAUCACCUACUGCACCACACUUUGAUUUCUUAUUUUCCCCAUUCCCAUUACCGGUAAUCACAACCCAUUCCACCCAGCCAUCACAAACCAGCCCUGCCUCAACCUCCCCUGACUUAACCAGCCCUGCCCCAACCUCCCCUACCUUAAAAAUUCCUGCCUCAACCUCUCCUACCUUAACCAGCUCUGCCCCAACCUCUCCUACCUUAACCAGCUCUGCCCCAACCUCUCCUACCUUAACCAGCCCUGCCCCAACCUCUCCUACCUUAACCAGCCUUGCCCCAACCUCUCCUACUUACCAGCCCUGCCCCAACCUCUCCUACCUUAACCAGCCCUGCCCCAACCCUCUCCUACCUUAACCGCCCUGCCCCAACCUUCCUACCUUAACCAGCCCUGCCCCCAACCUCUCCUACCUUAACCAGCCCUGCCCCACCUCUUCUCCCUUAACCAGCCCUGCCCCAACCUCUCCUACCUUAACCAGCCCUGCCCCAACCUCCCCUACCUUAAAAAUUCCUGCCUCAACCCUCUCUACCUUAAACCAGCUCUGCCCCAACCUCUUCCUACCUUCAACCAGCUCUGCCCCAACCUCUCCUACCUUAACCAUCCUGCCCCAAACCUUUCUNNNNNNNNNNNNNNNNNNNNNNNNNUCUCCUACCUUAACCAGCUCUGCCCCAACCUCUCCUACCUUAACCGUUCCUGCCCCAACCUCUCCUACCUUAACCAGCUCUGCCCCAACCUCUCCUACCUUAACCAGCUCUGCCCCAACCUCUCCUACCUUAACCGUUUCUGCCCACUCUCUCAUCCCUCCAAUCUCCGGAUCUGUUAAACGGUGAGUUCAGGAGACAGUCCGGCCUUGGCCUACACCCACUGCCAAGAAUAAAAAACAUCAACAAACAUCAAUAAACAAAUGCAAUAAAAUACAACAAGUGUUUAACUUGUUUUCUUACAGCCUCUUCACACUUACUACACUAUACAUAUUGCUCACAUGUAAUUUUGCGUACUUGCCACGGAGAGGAGAGAGUGGAAGGAUGAUGGGUCCUCCGGAAUGUUUCGUUUUCUUCCAGUUCCGCACAACUGUUCUGUUGCUCUUCAACCGAUCGCUGCCCGCACCUGCCUGCCUGUCUAGCAUCACUACUCUGGGCGGUUCUGACUUAGAAUAUGUGGACAACUACAAAUACCUCGGUGUCUGGUUUCGACUGUAAACUCUCCUUCCAGACUCACAUUAAACAUCUCCAAUCCAAAAUUAAAUCUAGAAUUGGCUUCCUAUUUUGCAACAAAGCAUCCUUCACUUAUGCUGACCAUCCUACUGAUAUGACUUUGGCGAUGUCAUUUAUAAAAUAGCCUCCAACACUCUACUCUGCAUCUUCUGCACAUCUAUCACUAUAGUGUUUAAUUGCUAAAUUAUAAUUAUUGUGCCACUAUGGCCUUAUUGCCUUACCUCCCUUAUCUUACUUCAUUUUCGCACACUGUAUAUACACUUUUCUAUUGUGUUAUUGACUGUAUGUUUGUUUAUUCCAUGUGUAACUCUGUGUUGAACUGCUUUGCUUUAUCAUGGCCAGGUCGCAUUUGUAAAUGAGAACUUGUUCUCGACUGGCCUCCCUGGUUAAAUAAAGGUGAAAUAAAAAUAAACAAAGCACGUAGUGAGUCACUCAGCCACGGAGCGGGAGAGGAGGAUCGGGCCGCCCGGGAGGAAAGGGGACAGUUGAAGUCAAAGGAUGUGGAAAGGGCCUGCUAACUGCUAGCUUGUUUAGCCCCGGUCCGCUAACUGCUACCUUGUUUAGCCCGGUCCUCUAACUGCUACCUUGUUUAGCCCCGGCCUACUAACUGUUAGCUUGUUAGCACAGGCCUGCUAACCGUCUGAAUCGCCGCGUUGUUGUGCUAGCUGAUUAGCUGUUGUUGUCUCACCUACUGUUUUAGCUACUGUUUUAGCUAGCUCUCCCAAUUCAACACCUGUGAUUACUGUAUGCCUCACUGUAUGUCUCUCUCAAAUGUCAAUAUGCCUUGUAUACUGUUGUUCAGGUUAGUUAUCAUUGUUUUAGUUUACAAUGGAGCCCCUAGUUCCACUCUUCAUACCCCUGAUACCUCCUUUGUCCCACCUCACACACAUGCGGUGACCUCACCCAUUACAACCAGCAUGUCCAGGGAUACAACCUCUCAUCAUCACCCAGUGCCUGGGCUUACUUCCGCUGUACCCGCACCCCACCAUACCCCUGUCUGCGCAUUAUGCCCUGAAUAUAUUCUACCAUGCCCAGAAAUCUGCUCCUUUUAUUCUCUGUCCCCAACGCUCUAGGCGACCAGUUUUGAUAGCCUUUAGCCGCACCCUCAUUCUACUCCUCCUCUGUUCCGCGGGUGAUGUGGAGGUAAACCCAGGCCCUGCAUGUCCCCAGGCACCCUCAUUUUUUGACUUCUGUGAUCGAAAAAGCCUUGGUUUCAUGCAUGUCAACAUCAGAAGCCUCCUCCCUAAGUUUGUUUUACUCACUGCUUUAGCACACUCUGCUAACCCUGAUGUCCUUGCCGUGUCUGAAUCCUGGCUCAGGAAGGCCACCAAAAAUUCUGAGAUUUCCAUACCCAACUAUAACAUUUUCCGUCAAGAUAGAACUGACAAAGGGGGAGGAGUUGCAGUUUACUGCAGAGAGAGCCUGCAAAGUAAUGUCAUACUUUCCAGGUCCAUACCCAAACAGUUCGAACUACUAAUUUAGAAAAUUACUCUCUCCAGAAAUAAGUCUCUCACUGUUGCCGCCUGCUACCGACCCCCCUCAGCUCCCAGCUGUGCCCUGGACACCAUUUGUGAAUUGAUCGCCCCCCAUCUAGCUUCAGAGUUUGUUCUAUUACCAGCCUGUUCAACCUCUCUUUCAUAUCAUCUUAGAUCCCCAAGGAUUGGAAAGCUGCCGCAGUCAUCCCCCUCUUCAAAGGGGGAGACACCCUGGACCCAAACUGUUACAGACCUAUAUCCAUCCUGCCUGCCUAUCUAAGGUCUUCGAAAGCCAAGUCAACAAACAGGUCACUGACCAUCUCGAAUCCCACCGUACCUUCUCCGCUGUGCAAUCGGGUUUCCGAGCCGGUCACGGGUGCACCUCAGCCACGCUCAAGGUACUAAACGAUAUCAUAACCGCCAUCGAUAAAAGACAGUACUGUGCAGCCGUCUUCAUCGACCUUGCCAAGGCUUUCGACUCUGUCAAUCACCAUAUUCUUAUCGGCAGACUCAGUAGCCUCGGUUUUUCGGAUGACUGCCUUGCCUGGUUCACCAAUUACUUUGCAGACAGAGUUC
ensembl:lncRNA